CAAAAACGGAUUCAAUAUUUCGAGUUAGUGCAUGGUUUUCGAACUGAAAGCAAUGGAUCCAGUUGAAUCUGUCCUAAAUUUGCAUCUGACCUCGACAUGCACUAUGUAUUACAACUCUAGAACUGUUUCCUUUCAUAAAUAUAUAUUAUCAAUGCAAAAAGAGGAUAUAUGCUAACUAUAUCUUGAAAGAAAGCAUAAUGAAAAAGCUCAUUGGACAUGAGGGAGGAGAAAUUAUCUUCAAGAACAGAUAAAAGUAAUGUAUUAAGAACAAAUUAAUACACAAGGUCCUAUAGUUAACACUUUAAUAUUCAGUAACAUUCUAGUAACAUCUUUAACAUGAGACUGAAAUAUACAUGGUUACUAGAUCUGCUAGAUCAAUUACUUUAUAAGUAACAUACUACUCCAAUAAAGAAAUAAUAUAAAGUAUUAAUUUUUUCCCGUAAGAUGUUGGUAAGAGUGUCAAUAUGUUCAUGGCCCACAAAGUUAGAUUAAAGGUUUUUCAUAAUUGAAAUAAGCAUUUCAAUCACGUUUAUGGUUGAAAAAUAAUGCCUGUCAUGUUCUGUGGUUGAAAUUCAAAGUCACGUUUGCCUCCUUCUCCUAUUUAUUAUUUAAACGAAACUCAACUUACAAAACGUUGAAACUAGAGAAAUCCUCCCCACAGGACACCACUCCAAUUACACUUACAACUUCUCCAAAAGUAGAGUCACCAAUGCCUCCAAAAAAGUAACAAAUUGAAAGAAACCAUCAAACAUUAGAGUAAGCUGAAGAUGAUGCCAAGCUGAUGAAGAAUACAAAAGUCUUUGCAAUGCCUAAUCGUCGCCAACUAGUUUUAUGGUAACGUUACACUAUCAGUAGCCACAUAAUAUAAUACUAGUAAGUUUUAGUGUUACAUUAUAUAAACUAUCGUUCAAUAUUUAAAGGAAAUUUUUGGAAAAAAUCAAUUUUGAUGAUUGUCACAUUUAAUUGUAUAUACUCAUUCACACAUCAAAAGAAUACCUUUUCCUUUGCAAUUGAGGAAAAGAAAAUAUAUUUGAUAAACGACUUCUUGACUGAUGAAAUAAAGCCCCUUUUGUGGCAGUUAGGAUUUGACUAGCAGCUGAUGACUUAAUAAAUAAACAACAACAAAAAUUGUCUGCUAUCACUUUUGAAAAUGCAAUUUGUCACCCUUGUAAAAUUUCUUGCAUUAUAUAUCUAGUGAUUUAUUUUGUGGGCCAAGCUAGCUAGUGUCUUCUUUUUGUUUCUGUUUUGUCCUUUAAGCAUAUGCAGAAACAAGUACUAACAAAGUGGUUAUCUUAACCUCAUGUCAACAUAUAAUAACUUACAUAAAUUAUUUAAAAAAAAGCAUAAUUUUAAUUAUUUAAUUGCAAUAUAUAUCUUAACACAGGCUAGCAAUUUCUUAAAGGAUUCUAGUUUUUCAAUCAUGGUGUUAAAACACUGGCGAUCUUGUUUUCACAUACUACUAAUUAUUUUUUGUUAUGUUUAACUAUCUUGUAUCCCAAGCCCAUUAAUUCUGACUAGUUUAGAUUUGUGCCAAGAAGGUAAAGCACAAGUUAUCAAGAAAAUCUUCAUUCUUAUCACUCAAAUUCAAGAUAUCUAACGGUGGAGAGAUCACAAGCAUCCAAUGGGAUUAAUCAUUACAGGUUAUGGGCUUGAAGAUCUCACAUCCACGAGCUCAGAAUCAUUUUUGGACAAAAUUUUGAGCGGCUCUCUUUGUCCACUCAACAAAUAAAACGCAUGGGAGAAUCAAAACUUGAUGGAAAAAAUUCCAUCAAUUUCCUAUUUUUUUCUUUUGCAAUUGAAUUUUAAUUACUUUAUGUACUACUCUUUAGAAAUACUCACCUGUUUCCCCACUUA